rnacentral:rRNA from 1 species
UACAGAGGGGGCAAGCGUUAAUCGGAAUUACUGGGCGUAAAGCGUGCGCAGGCGGUUAUGUAAGACAGAUGUGAAAUGCCCGGGCUUAACCUGGGAACUGCGCUUGUUACUGGCAGGCUGGAGUGUGGCAGAGGGGGGUGGAAUUCCACGUGUAGCAGUGAAAUGCGUAGAGAUGUGGAGGAACACCGAUGGCGAAGGCAGCCCCCUGGGCUAACACUGACGCUCAUGCACGAAAGCGUGGGGAGCAAACAGG